GACGAACGCUGGCGGCGCGCCUAACACAUGCAAGUCGAGCGGGGAUAUUAGCAAUAGUAUUCUAGCGGCGGACGGGUGAGUAACGCGUGGGUAAUCUGCCUUUAAGAGGGGAAUAACACAAAGAAAUUUGUGCUAAUACCGCAUGAGACCACAUGUACGCAUGUACGAGUGAUCAAAGGAGCAAUCCGCUUAGAGAUGAACCCGCGUCUGAUUAGCUAGUUGGUGGGGUAAAGGCCUACCAAGGCGACGAUCAGUAGCCGAACUGAGAGGUUGAUCGGCCACAUUGGGACUGAGACACGGCCCAGACUCCUACGGGAGGCAGCAGUGGGGAAUAUUGCGCAAUGGGGGGAACCCUGACGCAGCGACGCCGCGUGGAGGAAGAAGGUCUUCGGAUUGUAAACUCUUGUCUACAGGGACGAAACAAAUGACGGUACCUGUGGAGGAAGCCCCGGCUAACUACGUG
rnacentral:rRNA from 1 species